GACAGAUUGGAGCUUGCUCCAUGAAGUUAGUGGCGGACGGGUGAGUAACGCGUGGGUAACCUGCCCUAUGCAGGGGGAUAACGUUUGGAAACGAACGCUAAUACCGCAUAACCUAGUUGGUUCGCAUGAACUGAUUAGCAAAGAUUUAUCGGCAUAGGAUGGACCCGCGUUGGAUUAGCUAGUUGGUGAGAUAACAGCUCACCAAGGCGACGAUCCAUAGCCGGCCUGAGAGGGUGAACGGCCACACUGGGACUGAGACACGGCCCAGACUCCUACGGGAGGCAGCAGUGGGGAAUAUUGCACAAUGGGCGCAAGCCUGAUGCAGCGACGCCGCGUGAAGGAUGAAGGUUUUCGGAUCGUAAACUUCUAUCAGCAGGGAAGAAACCAAUGACGGUACCUGACUAAGAAGCCCCGGCUAACUACGUGCCAGCAGCCGCGGUAAUACGUAGGGGGCAAGCGUUAUCCGGAUUCACUGGGUGUAAAGGGUGCGUAGGUGGUAUGGUAAGUCAGAUGUGAAAACUUGAGGCUCAACUUCAAGAUUGCAUCUGAAACUACUAAACUAGAGUGCAGGAGAGGAAAGCGGAAUUCCGAGUGUAGCGGUGAAAUGCGUAGAGAUUCGGAGGAACACCAGUAGCGAAGGCGGCUUUCUGGACUGU
rnacentral:rRNA from 1 species